rnacentral:rRNA from 1 species
GAUGAACGCUGGCGGCGUGCCUAAUACAUGCGAGUCGAGCGAACAGACGAGGAGCUUGCUCCUUCGACGUUAGCGGCGGACGGGUGAGUAACACGUAGGUAACCUACCUAUAAGACUGGGAUAACUUCGGGAAACCGGAGCUAAUACCGGAUAAUAUUUCGAACCGCAUGGUUCGAUAGUGAAAGAUGGCUUUGCUAUCACUUAUAGAUGGACCUGCGCCGUAUUAGCUAGUUGGUAAGGUAACGGCUUACCAAGGCAACGAUACGUAGCCGACCUGAGAGGGUGAUCGGCCACACUGGAACUGAGACACGGUCCAGACUCCUACGGGAGGCAGCAGUAGGGAAUCUUCCGCAAUGGGCGAAAGCCUGACGGAGCAACGCCGCGUGAGUGAUGAAGGUCUUCGGAUCGUAAAACUCUGUUAUUAGGGAAGAACAAACGUGUAAGUAACUGUGCACGUCUUGACGGUACCUAAUCAGAAAGCCACGGCUAACUACGUG